GUAGCAAAAUAAUUUGUUUUUUAAUUGAAAACGGGUAUGAAUGGUUAAACAAGUAUUUUUAUUUAUUUUUAAUAUAAUUAAGUUUUAAUUUAAGUAAAAAUACUUAAAUAAAUAAAAGGGACGAUAAGACCCUAGAAUCUUUAUUUUUAUAUUUUUAGAAAUAGUAAAGGUUAUUAUGAAAUUAAUUAUGAAAUUGAUUGGGGCAGUUAUUUUAAAUAAAUUAAAGUUUAUUUUACUUAAAUAAUAGGAUUUAUGGUCUUUUAAAUAAAGAUAAUAAGGUUUAGUUACUCUAGGGAUAACAGCGUAAUAUUUUUAGAAAGGUCUUAUUAAUGAAAAUGAUUGCGACCUCGAUGUUGAAUUAAAAAAUCUUUACGAGGCAUAAUGUGUAAAAGAAAGUUUGUUCAACUUUUAAAAUUUU
rnacentral:rRNA from 1 species